rnacentral:rRNA from 1 species
GACAGAGGCCACAAGCGUUAGGCGGAAUCACUGGGCUUAAAGCGCGUGUAGGUGGGCGUGCAAGUACCUUGUGAAAUCCCAUCGCUCAACGAUGGAACUGCUUGGUAUACUGCUCGUCUUGAGCCAUCUAGGGGCUACUGGAACAAACGGUGGAGCGGUGAAAUGCGUAGAUAUCGUUUGGAACGCCAAUGGUGAAAACAGGUAGCUGGGGAUGUGCUGACACUGAGACGCGAAAGCCAGGGGAGCAAACGGG